UUGAAUACACUUGGUUAGGUUGCUGCUGGCUUUUUGAAGCAUGUGCACACCUACGCCAAUUUCAACCACCUGUGCACAUUGUGUAGAUCUUGGAUGCUUGAAGAAUAAGAUAUUUAUUUAUCUGGUUCGCAUUCAAGUCUACGUUUAUAAACUCCAUAAGAAUGUAUCAGAAUGUUUUUAAUAGGCCUUUUUUGUGUCUAAAAAUUAUAAA
rnacentral:misc_RNA from 1 species